AUUCCGUGAUAAGGGCAUCUUCGUAAUAAUUCUUUAAAUCUUUCCCAUGCCUCAUACAAGGACUCUUCAUCCAUCUGUUGGAGGAUAGUGAUCUCAUUCCGUAACU
rfam:Gossypium hirsutum cultivar TM-1 chromosome 5, whole genome shotgun sequence